rnacentral:lncRNA from 1 species
AAGCCAGAUUCGUCUUGGAUUCUUUAUUUGAGCUUCAAAAUAGACCACUAAACUUCUUUCCACGUUUAAAUAAGGGUCAACCCCAAAAAUGACAUGUUUUCAUUUCUUUUGCCUUCAAAUUGAUCCUAAAAUACAUGUAACUGCACACUAACACAAAAUAAGGUAAAAUGCAACCAAUUUAACUCAAAAACAUCACAAAGAGACUAUAAAUGGAUGGUAUAAAUGCAUGAAAUAUAUGAGUUAUCAAAUACCUUUAAACCUGGUUUUUGCUAGUUCUCGAGCAAAACUAUAACUAAAAACACACAAAAACAAUAAAAUCUAACUAUACCACUUUCGCUGGCUAAAUGAUUGCACUAAGCAUGUGCAACAAGUCUUUAAACCUCUAGGUGUCCCUAGUCGAAUGAGUUGUGUCUCCUGAGGGUUUAUAGUGAUGACGCCCAUAAACAUCUACAGAUUCUAUAAACAAAUUGGUUAAAGCAUACUUGGAACAAACUAAUAAGAACCAAUGAAAGCUUAGUCAUACAUCCAAACCAAAAGUUUGCCGCUUCAAAGAAUCGUAUAAUGUGUAAAGUGUAAAAAUAUUACUCCAUGACUUAUUACUUCAAAGACACCAUACUCAAAUGCCAAAGAUAAAAUUCGCCUUAACUCUAGUCCUCACAUAUAUCACUCAAAUUUUCACUCAGUUCCUAAGGUGUAAUCUUUCCACAAACACAAGUGAGUGAAAUUAUGUAAAUGGGAUUAAAAAAUUCUCACAUAUGAAAUAUGAAAUAAAAGCACAAUUUCUGAACAGAUCUCAUGAAAUGAAUCAAAACUAAGAAUAUGGAUAACACACGUACUUACCAGCACCUAUGAAUACAUCCGCAAAGAUCAGCUAGGUCUUUCACAAGGUUGUAAUGUAAGGCUUAGGCUAUGGGCUAUGAAAGAAAGGAUAGGAAAUACUAGAGCUUGGGACAUACCAUACCAAAGUGUAUUUGUUAUGAAAUAAGCAAGCUCUUCACUUGAAUUGGUCUUUGUUAUUUGUUCUUGGCAUCCAGGACCCAUGCAUGAUAAUGGGAAGAUUUGGGAAUUGCAUCUUCUUUGAUUUUUUUCCUGUAACAUUUUUUUUUUAUUUGCAAUUCCAACACAUGUUACCUUGGUACACGCCACGUUCUUGAUCUAGAGCUUAAUCUAUAUGUGUCUUCAUCACUUUAGUAUUCCCCAAACUAUAAGGUAUGGCUGUAAUGGGCUAAGAUGGGUAGAGUUUGGUGUGGGUGAUGAAAGAACUAGGCUAAAAGUGUUUGGCUGCAACAAGGGUGAAUGGGGCACAUAAAGGAAUGGGAAUUAGGCCUUUUAGUGGUUAAAACAUGCAUAGCCUAACAUCGUCUCAAUGAGUUUAUUCAUAGGUGAUAAUAAACACAUGGUAUCUACAACAUAGGAUUAUUUUUAGCAUUCAAUCAAAGAGAAAUAAUGAGAUCAUUUAAAGUGAAAUUGAAAGAAAAAGAUAUGAGCAGAAACAUUUAACAUUUUAAACCCUCUCAAAGUAGCAAAUAGGCUCAAAAUAACUCAUUAGGGUAGUCUCUACUAUUCUUCUUCCAGAAUUUGAGCAAAGCACUUUACAAUAACUCAUUAGUGUCAAAUAGGGUCUGUUAUGGGGGAGGUGCAAAUGUUUGAUUAGGAGCUUGUAUGUUGUUCCAAGAGUCAAUAUUAAGGUUUCUCCAAAUAGGGUUGUAUGUGUUUGACAAUGGUUGUUGUGGCCCUUGGUUAGAGAAACACAUGUGAUGUGAGUGCUCUCGGACAAAUGUAGGAAACUCGUCUCUCCUUGGGCAGAAUUGAAGAGGAUGACAAGUUUUAGCAUAUAACAGACAUUCGCCAUACAUCUCUCUGUACCACUUGAAAGCAAACAACCUAAAAUGUAAAUUAAAAAUCUAAACUAAGAAAAGAAAAACAGAUAGGGUUUAUAAAGCAAGCAAUUAUAGGGGACUGAAAUCAGUCCCCGACAACGACGCCAAAAUUUUGUUGUGUUCCUUUCAAGUGCAAAUAUAAAGAUAGUGUCAAACCACAGGGACUGAUUAGAACUCUACAAAUUACUAACUUUAUGUGAACCCUAACUAAGCAACGAAAAUGAAAACUGAAUUUAGAUUUUUGUUAUGAAAGUUAAAGUAACUUAAAAUGCAAGACAAGAUAAAGACAAAUGAUAGAUUGAUUCAGAAACGAUGGGAACGGAACUAGGGAUACCGAUUUCACCAUUACAAGUCAAUUCCAUGAAAAUUAAGUCAAAACGCAUUAAACUAUCCAAUCUACAACUAGGGUUCGUUUUCCUUAUUUAUGGUCAUCCAUUCGGUGUAUGGUUAUGAUCAAGUACUCCUAAUCUGCAACCUAGUUGUGAUGUUCAACUUAGAUUACCAAGUAAGAAUCCAUUAAGAACAAGAAAACUUCAAAAGAACCAAAGAAAUUACAAGGCAGGAUGUGUGCAUGGCAGCUUCUUCAUUCAUUCACAUGUCCACCAAGAUUAAGCAUGAUGAGUACUAUAACCUUGAUCAAAUAAUUCAUAAGUAGCCCUAAUGGUGAUCAAACAUUAAGAUUAACAAACAAAUUAUACUAUAAAAUCAGUGAAUGAAACAAGAACACAGAUUGGUAAUUUGAAACUUUAACUUAAUAACAUAGAGUAGGUUUGCAAGACUACAUCGAAAUCCCCAGCUAUAAACUUAAUUACACAACAUGAUUACAAAAUAUAUAAAUUUCAAGAACAAAUGAGUGAAAUUAAAGUUCACAGAAGAAACCCCCUUGAAGCAAUUCUGAUGUUGAACUUCUCCAAGAACAGCGCGGAUGUGUGGUUUCUUUGGUGACAGCGAAUGGCGAAGGGAAAUAGGGUUUUGUUUAUGGAAGAAAGGCCAAAGAAAAAGAAGAGAGAGAGCUCUGGGCGACCCCAAUGGGGGCUUGUGCGAAAGUAAUUUGAAACCCUAGUAUUUAUAUGCUAAAUGGGGCUGCAAGAUAUUCCAAAGUGAUCCCAUUCUGUUCCUGGUUUUCUACAAGCCAGAUUCGUCUUGGAUUCUUUAUUUGGGCUUCAAAACAAGCCACUAAAUUUCUUUCCACGUUUGAAUAAAGGUCAAUCCCAAAAAUGGCAUGUUUUCAUUUCUUUUGCCUUCAAAUUGAUCCUAAAGUACAUGUAACUACACACUAACCCAAAAUAAGGUAAAAUGCAACCAGUUUAACUCAAAAAUAUCACAAAGAAACUAGAAAUUGAUGGUAUAAAUGCAUGAAAUAGUCACCCACCGAUACACACUGGAGAUGGAAUAUUUGGUCACUAGAUGGAGUGUUCUAUUACCAGAGUAGAAUAUUUCGUCACUGCACAGAAUAUUCUGUCACAGUUAAUGGUAUACACACUGUUAAUAGAGUAUUCCAUCUUCUCUAGUGAGUCCAAUUUUUUAGAAUGUCAUAACUUGUUGAAUUCUCAACUAAAAUUCACACAAUUCAUAUCAAAUUAAAGCUAAAGAUGAGGAAUCAAAAUAUACCUAUCUCAAGGCCUAAAAGUGAUCGGAGUUGAUCGGAAUUUAGACUAAAAGCCAUGGCCAAAUUGGAGUUUGUUGAGACAAAGGCAAAUUCGAGCACAUGCUCGAACCUUGGGAUAUAAGUGCUAGAGAGGGUUCUGGUGUUAUUAAACUCGCCCAGUUUGGUGAUAUUUGGCCAGACAACGUGACAAGGAAACCUUGGUCAGAAAGACAAAGAAUUCGCCGGAGUUUUUUUCGGUUCAAACUUGAGUUCUUCGUUGUUGAAUUUGAUGACUAAUUCAACCAUUUUCUUGGGGUUUCUAGACUCGUGGUGAGUCGGGGAGAACAACGAUGAUGGUUUAGUGGUGUGGGUUCGAAGGUUGGGUGGUGAAUGGUGGUGGUGGCUUACGAUGUUGCAUUGUGCAACACAGAAAGAUGGUGAGUGCAAAGAGUGAGAGAGGAAGAGAGACUGUAGAGAAAGUGAAAGAGAGUCAGUGUUUGGUUAAUGUGUGUAUGCAUGUGUAUUUGGGUUAGAUCCAAACAAUAACUUUAUAGGCUCUAGGCCCAAUUAAAAUAAUUAUCAAGGACAACCCACUUGCCUCACUUGCACACCUAAUUUGAAAUUGUAAUCAGAUAGGUAGUUAGAAGCUUGUAGCCUACAAUAAAGACGGCAGCCCAGCCACCUUGAAAAUGGUUUUGCAAAUUCUUUAAUAUACAAAAUUACCAUUUUGCCCCUCGUCAUGAAACAUUCAUAACUUGUUUGUUACAUGUCAGAAUUACGUCCCCUUUGUGCCCACGUGUUCGAAUUGAUGAGUAAUAUUUAAAUAGUAUAGAAAAGGGAAAGAUUAUGUAAGAAAUUUAGAGGUACACGUAAGAAUAUCACUUAGUUUGUCAUGGGCAUUUUGGUAAUUUCAUUGUUUCUGGGAAUAAGGUACAAUAAAAUUUGAGAUGGGAUGUUGCAAAGCUGCAUCCUUAAGUUGAGCUCUCUAAUAGGUAAUACAAAUGCGAUUUGGAAAGAUUAAUAUGCAAGGAGACUGAAAAUUUUUAAUUCAGGCAAUUAAGAAAAAGAUACAAGUUAUGUGGUAGAUUUCAUAAAGAGACUAAAAAAAUUUAAUUCAGGCAAUUAAGAAAAAGAUACAAGUUAUGUGGUAGAUUUCAUCUAUUAUCAAGAAUACUUGACAUUUAUUGAAGCUGAUUUUCUACUACACAAUUUAUCACAUGUUUUGAGAAGUUAACAUGACCGUUGAUGGUUUGCUGAUUUGGCAUAUACAUACAGUUAGUCUUGUAUCUAGUUCACUAAUUUUCCUCAUGUAACUGUACUUAGGUUACUUUUUGAUAAAAUUGGAAAUAGGAUUCGUAGAGAAUUUCUUUGUAUAAAUCUUCAUCUUUAAAAAAAAAUUACAAUUUUAAUUUAAUAUGUUCAAUCCAUAUGACGUGUCACCACAUCAACCUUGAAGUCACACGAAUAAAUUAAACAGUUAUUUAAAGGAUUUGACAAAAUCUAGGCAACGUGCGAUAAGAGGAGAGAGAGAGAAGAAAAGAAAGAUAGUAGAUAGGUUAUUGGAGCAUAUUUAUGCCACUGAGUUAGCUUGUUCUCAUGCAUUUAUGUUGUUAUUUCUUAGUUAAUUAUGUAUUUUAAGCUAUUUUUGAAGGGAAAACCAUGAGAUUUCAUGUGGGAUUUCUAGUGACUAGCAUGCAUAUACAAUUCAAAAUUUAUAUACGAAAGCAACGGAAGCAUGUUAUCAAAUAAUAUCAAAACAAUAGUCAUGCAAAUCCCCUUCAAGAUGCAUAGGUUUAUGUAAGAUGCAUCAAAAACAAAUUUAUAUAAGAACAAAGUUUAGGAGU